AGAGACAGCAGUAGCCACGGUAAUACGAAGGGUGCAAGCGUUACUCGGAAUUACUGGGCGUAAAGCGUGCGUAGGUGGUGGUUUAAGUCCGUUGUGAAAGCCCUGGGCUCAACCUGGGAAUUGCAGUGGAUACUGGGUCACUAGAGUGUGGUAGAGGAUAGUGGAAUUUCCGGUGUAGCAGUGAAAUGCGUAGAGAUCGGAAGGAACAUCUGUGGCGAAGGCGACUAUCUGGGCCAACACUGACACUGAGGCACGAAAGCGUGGGGAGCAAACAGGAUUAGAUACCCGCGUAGUCCCUGUCUCUUAUAC
rnacentral:rRNA from 1 species